AAGUCGUAACAAGGUCUCCGUUGGUGAACCAGCGGAGGGAUCAUUACAGAGUUGCAAAACUCCCAACCAUUGUGAACGAACCCAUUAUAGUUGCUUCGGCGGGUGGUGCGCUGAAACCGCCCGCCGGCAGCAUGCAAACUCUAGAUUACAGUGGAUCUCUGAGUAGCUUAUUCAAUAAGUUAAAACUUUCAACAACGGAUCUCUUGGUUCUG
rnacentral:misc_RNA from 1 species